GGAGAGGUGGCUGAGCGGCUUAAGGUACACGCUUGGAAAGCGUGCGUACGUUAAUAGCGUACCGUGGGUUCAAAUCCCACCCUCUCCG
rnacentral:tRNA from 1 species